CCCACCUGCCGGCCCGGUUGGACUGAACGAGGUUUAGUGAGAAGGACGAAAUCUGAAGAAGAGAACAGCAGUGGGAAUCUGGCACCCUACCAACACCCGUGGAUCACAAAUUAACAGAAUUCAUCAUCAAUCCAAUUAUCUGGAUAAUAGAAGACGAAUAGGUAUGGAACGCAACAGAGCCAUGGCUUGGGAAGUGUUUCGGAUCACUGUUGCUCAGAAUCAGCACUGACCUGGCACCCACUCCGAAGUCCAACCCCUUUCUCCAGCACCCUAAAGGACCCUCGUCUCCCAAACAACUGCUUUAUCCUCCAUUUCACCUUCACUCAGCACUCCGAGUCUUCAUCGAGUUUCUAAAAAAAUUUCCUUUAGUCAUUAAGGGUGUUUUACCUUCCAGAUUGUUGGAUAUAAUCCACUUUGUCUCAUA